AGUGAACGCUGGCGGUAGGCCUAACACAUGCAAGUCGAACGGCAGCACAGUAAGAGCUUGCUCUUACGGGUGGCGAGUGGCGGACGGGUGAGGAAUACAUCGGAAUCUACUUUUUCGUGGGGGAUAACGUAGGGAAACUUACGCUAAUACCGCAUACGACCUACGGGCGAAAGCAGGGGAUCUUCGGACCUUGCGCGAUUGAAUGAGCCGAUGUCGGAUUAGCUAGUUGGCGGGGUAAAGGCCCACCAAGGCGACGAUCCGUAGCUGGUCUGAGAGGAUGAUCAGCCAAACGGGAACUGAGAAACGGUCCAGACUCCUACGGGGGGCAGCAGUGGGGAAUAUUGGACAAGGGGCGCAAGCCUGACCCAGCCAUACCGCGUGAGUGAAGAAGGCCUUCGGGUUGUAAAGCCCUUUUGUUGGGAAAAAAAAGCAGCAGGUUAAUACCCCGCUGUUCUGGCGGUACCCAAAGAAUAAGCACCGGCUAACUUCGU
rnacentral:rRNA from 1 species